CAGGGGCAAGAGAACUCCCUGCAACCCACAGUGUCUAGGCUGGAGCCGGAGACGAGGAAGGCCCAGGGGCAGGGAGAGCACGGGGCAGGGAACUCAGAAGCCUGCAGAAUGAGGGCGCUGAUGUCAAGCAUGGCAGCCUGGCACUGCUGCACCCCCCCACCAUCACUACACUGUCAUUGUCAGAGCGCGGGUGUGACAGGCUCCACCCGGCCGUCCCACUUUCAUCUCCGGCAUUUCAAUUUGCUGAUUUAACAUUUCCCCGGAACGCCGGGUUGGGUUUUUUCCUCCACUUGAUUUCCUAGGGUUUGUCUCUUCAUUGUUUUUCUUCUUAAAAGAAUAAAGCCAGAGACAAGCACCUGUCUUUUAUGCUCUCAGGCUGAAAUUUUGCAGCUGUUGGUGGUGAAGGAGGUGGGGGGAGGCGGAAGGAGGUGCGUUUGGGAGAAGGGACAGAGAGGGACAGGAUUCCUGUGCCCAUUGAGGAUGGGGAGCUCUGCCUCUGGGAGAAGCACCUCCUGGAAGAUCCUGGGCCUGGGGGAGGGUGCAGCUGGCACCUGAAGGUGCUCCCCUGGGGAAAGCAGCCCUGGGCCCAAGGCCACCCUGACAACACCCAGGCUUUGCGAAUGUGCUGGCCGCAGAGGCUGGAUGAGGGUCACCCACCACAGCUGACUGGAGCAUGGCCUGGGCACCUACUGGACAUGAGACUAGGUCCCUCAUCCCUCCCACCCCUCCAGCAGGGAAAGUGGAGCAAGCAAGAGGACUGUGGGCAGCCAGGGUCAUGGGGCAGCACUUCUCUGCAAGGGGCAGCCCUGAUGGAAGAUGUAGAGGCAGGAAAGAUCUUGGCUGUGUUUUAGAAACUGAUAGUUCAGCAUGAUGUGGAGUGAGCCUGGUGAGAGGAUUUAGGGGGAGUGGAUGAGCUGGGAAUGAGGAGGAGGCAGGAGCUGGAUCAUGCCAUGCCUGAAAGCUACCUGUGGACAUUUGUCAUGCUUUGGCUGUCAAGUAUCCAUGAUCCUUCUCUUCUGGGGCAGAGAGAGGGAAGCCAGAGGGUCCAGAUUCUUUCUCUCUUGGCUAGGAUAUGGCGCUUGAUUGCUUCCUCUUGCUCUGGACUUUGAAUCUCAAAGAGCCAAAGAUGGGAAGAAAGUCAGGCUCCUCCCAGGCAAUGAUGAAGGAUGUGGGACCUAGCAGUCUUGGGUGUGUUCCCCACCCAAGGUUGUUCCUGCCAAAAGAUGCUUCUUGUCUGUUUUCUAAACCCAGAGUCUCCUGUCAUCAAUUCUGAGGGCCCCAAUAUCCUCCAGCAGAGCCUUUUUUUCUUAAGCUAGCCAGAGACGGGUGGUACUAGCUGUGAAUGAGCACUUCCCGAUUGACCCUGGACAAGAAUCUGGAUUCAAAUGCAAGGCCAUUGAGGGGUUUUAGGCAGGGGAGGAUGUGAUCUGAGUUUUGUUUUUAAAAGCUCAUUCUGGGUGCUGUGUGGAGAGUAGCUUGUGGGGAGGCAAGAAAGGAAGCAGGGACACCAGUUGGGGGGCUACGGGCCGGGUGAGACAUGAUGGUGGUGAUAGAAACCAAGGGGUCAAGAUACAUGCUUGCAAAUGGAUUUGGUGAUAGAUUGGAUGUAUGGAAAAAGAGUCAAGGAUGGUGUUUAGGUUUCUGACUCGUGUACUGUGUGGACAGUGGUGGUGUUUACCAGGCUGGAGAAGAGUGAGGGAGAAAGAGAUCAUGUUGGGGGAGGUGGAAUGGACAGUUUCGUGUUGCACAUUUUAAGAUGAGUCGCUUUGUCGGUGAGAGUCCAAGCAGGAGCUUUGCCAGGUAGUCCAGUAGACGGAAUACAACAUGCAGAACCAGUCACAGCGGUGCUGGAGGAACCGAAACAGGAGAUGCGGGACCAACCCCUAGACUGCUGAUGGCAGGAAGGUGCCCCGCCCUAGGAUGGAGGCACAAGGGAAAGAGGGAAAUGGAAAGAGCGGACUUGUCAGAAACCUGCCUCCAGGAUAAAGAGAAGGAAGAGAAAUGUGAUUCCAAGAGGCGGAAGCGGUGAUGGCAGCAGCUGCUUAAUAAGGGAAAAGGGAUCCUAAUUAUUGUUUGGACAGGCAGGGAAGUAAGAAGUCAAUCAGAGCGAACCAGAGGGCGGGCACACGUGUGAGGGCGGGCUGCACCCCGCUAAGAAGCCGGGAUCCUUCCACCAGGUGCCGGAGCCUCCGAUUGAGAGGCGAGGAGAUGCUGACCACAGGGGCCUCGCCGAUCACUCGCUCGGCCCAGAGGGGGCGCUCUGGCUCCAGAGAGGAACGGGCGGUGGGGCGGAGCCGGGGCGGGACCGCGGCAUCCUUCUUCCAG
ensembl:lncRNA